UGCAGUCGACGAGUUCUGAUUAUUGAAAGGUGCUUGCAUCUUGAUUUAAUUUUGAACGAGUGGCGGACGGGUGAGUAACACGUGGGUAACCUGCCCUUAAGUGGGGGAUAACAUUUGGAAACAGAUGCUAAUACCGCAUAAAUCCAAGAACCGCAUGGUUCUUGGCUGAAAGAUGGCGUAAGCUAUCGCUUUUGGAUGGACCCGCGGCGUAUUAGCUAGUUGGUGAGGUAACGGCUCACCAAGGCAAUGAUACGUAGCCGAACUGAGAGGUUGAUCGGCCACAUUGGGACUGAGACACGGCCCAAACUCCUACGGGAGGCAGCAGUAGGGAAUCUUCCACAAUGGACGCAAGUCUGAUGGAGCAACGCCGCGUGAGUGAAGAAGGCUUUCGGGUCGUAAAACUCUGUUGUUGGAGAAGAAUGGUCGGCAGAGUAACUGUUGUCGGCGUGACGGUAUCCAACCAGAAAGCCACGGCUAACUACGUGCCAGCAGCCGCGGUAAUACGUAGGUGGCAAGCGUUAUCCGGAUUUAUUGGGCGUAAAGCGAGCGCAGGCGGUUUUUUAAGUCUGAUGUGAAAGCCCUCGGCUUAACCGAGGAAGUGCAUCGGAAACUGGGAAACUUGAGUGCAGAAGAGGACAGUGGAACUCCAUGUGUAGCGGUGAAAUGCGUAGAUAUAUGGAAGAACACCAGUGGCGAAGGCGGCUGUCUGGUCUGUAACUGACGCUGAGGCUCGAAAGCAUGGGUAGCGAACAGGAUUAGAUACCCUGGUAGUCCAUGCCGUAAACGAUGAAUGCUAGGUGUUGGAGGGUUUCCGCCCUUCAGUGCCGCAGCUAACGCAUUAAGCAUUCCGCCUGGGGAGUACGACCGCAAGGUUGAAACUCAAAGGAAUUGACGGGGGCCCGCACAAGCGGUGGAGCAUGUGGUUUAAUUCGAAGCAACGCGAAGAACCUUACCAGGUCUUGACAUCUUUUGAUCACCUGAGAGAUCAGGUUUCCCCUUCGGGGGCAAAAUGACAGGUGGUGCAGGG
rnacentral:rRNA from 1 species